GUUUUUUAGCUCUUUUUUCCUUCGCAGAAAAUUCAUAUCAGAUCAGGUCCAAUUGCCACGAAACUUGACGGAGAUUUUUUUGGACCAAAAGGAAACUUGGGAACCAAGAAUGAGCGGUAGACAAAUCAACCCUGUCAUAUACACUUCCAUUUAACGGUCUACAAGGGUACACAUACACACUCUCCCUCUCGUUGCUAUGCAUCUCCAUAGAUGGAUCUUGAGUGGUCGUAGGAAAGUUUUGUUUCCCAU
rnacentral:lncRNA from 1 species